GACGAACGCUGGCGGCGUGCUUAACACAUGCCAGUCGAACGGAAAGGCCCUGCGUUUGUGGGGUUCUCGAGUGGCGAACGGGGGAGUAAAACGUGAGUAACCUGCCCUUGACUUUGGGAUAACUUCAGGAAACUGGGGAUAAUAUAGGAUAGGAGAUCCUGCUCCGUGGUGGGCGUUGGAAAGUUUCGGCGGUUGGGGAUGGAAUGGCGGCUUAUCAGCUUGUUGGUGGGGUAGUGGCUUACCAAGGCUUUGACGGGUAGCCGGCCUGGGAGGGUGACCGGCCACAUUGGGACUGAGGUACGGCCCAGACUCCUACGGGAGGCAGCAGUGGGGAAUCUUGCACAAUGGGCGGAAGCCUGAUGCAGAAACGCCGCGUGCGGGAUGACGGCCUUCUGGUUGUAAACCGCUUUCGCCUGUGACGAAGCGGGAGUGACGGUAAUGGGUAAAGAAGCACCGGCUAACUACGUG
rnacentral:rRNA from 1 species